GAAGAAGGUGUGUCUCACUCUUUUGCCUGUUUCCUCCUUGGUGUUUACAGCUGCCAUAAACUGCGGCCCAGCCAUGCCACCCUGUCUUGGAGCCAACUGCGUAUGGACUGAAACCUCCAAAAACUUUGCUGUCAGCUCAGCCUGUGUUCCUGCAAAUCAGCCAGCUGCUUUCUGGACUGGCAGGAGGCUCUGACGGGCUGAGACCAGGACCGCCUUCCGCGGAAAGCAGCCGCCUGAACCAGCUGGCUCCAGUUUGCCCCACGGAGGGCCACUCCUCUAGCUUUUCUUGUUGUGCUCCAUCCCAAAAAAUACCCUCUUAAAAACUCAUUACACGUAAUUAAGUUGGGUAAUGAGAAGAUUCAUUUCCAAAAUUCAGAAUUUGAUACACAAAACCAAGAUCUCAUCAGCUGUCUAAGCAAUAAAGUUCUUCCUUUA